CAGUGUGUCCCACAGUGUACCCUUCGUCCACACAUCUUCACUUACAGAUGUUCAUUGCAAUGAGUCACUGGUCCACUUCCAGGCCUCCGGCUUCUGACACACCAUCAAUAUUAGAUCCUCACAGGACUCCCCUUGGACAUCCUGCUGCUGUCCUGUGUCACGGAGAUCCUGCAGCUUUGGAUCUGCAAGGCCAGCCCUUUCACAUGGGCCAACAGCUCACAGGUGAUGUAGGUGUUGGGCUGGGCCAACCCAAAGUCCUGGACUGGGCCUCAGUGGUAGUUGAGCUGCUCGACCUUCCUAAUCUGUACCAGCAGGAGAACUCUCCAGGAGGUUGAGCUCAAAUUUUCUGCCUUUACCCACUGAGCAGUCUCAGUGCUUCUUACUUUUUAUUUUGAAACACAGUCUCACUGAGUUUCCUUCCCAUCUGUCCUUGAAAUCACUCUGCAGGGCUUGAAGUUGCAAUCCUCCUGCCUCGCCUUGCUGAGUAUCUGGGACUCCAGGCUGGCUCCACAGAGCCCAAUUUGGACUUUAACAGUAGUUUUAGUUCAGAGCAAAAUUUACUGGAAACACACAUUCCUGCCUUUCUUGGCAACUUCCUCCCCCAUCAGCAUCUGCUCUGAGGUAAUGAAUGGACAUUGAUACAUCACCAUCAACCCGGAUUCAUCGGCCACAUCAGAGCCCCUGCUGGCCUGUGGUCUUACUCUGUUGCCCUCCACCUAAUUGCCUCAAGACAGGGCCUCUCACUGAACUGGGAUUUCACAGUCCUCUGCUAUGUCUUUCUGGUUGGCAUUGGAGUGCUUAGGAUCUGCCUGUCUUCACAUGACACCCAACGCUGGAGUUACAGCUGACCAAUACUGUGCCAGGAUAUUUCAGUGAGUGAUGAGAAUUCAAACUGGGGUUCUCAUGCGUGUAGAGCGAGCAAUCUUAUCCAUUAAACCAUCUCCCUGUCCCAUUCUAUUUGUAAAUAAAUAGGAACAGAAUAAUUUAUCUAAACAGACACCGCCAAGCUCAGGUGGAGCAGGGCCUGUGACGUUCCCGGAGGAAAAGUGGUACAGUCAGGUUAAUGUCUUAUGGUUCAUUUGGGGCUUCUCUGGUGUGACCACGAGAAUCUUAUCUUCUGAGCUUCAGGAGUUCAGAUGCUGCAUUGCCCAGACUACUGUAACCACAGUGAAGUCGGUAUAAAGGCUUCUACCCGCUCCAUAAUAAAUCCAGACUCUGGUUAAUUGGAGAACAUCACUUUCUCUGUGGCACAGCCUUCCUGGAACAUGCUGAGUGACUCCUUAGCAACCGUUUCCUGGUGUCAUUAUCCAUGGAGAACACUUGGUGAUAGACGUUGGAUACCGUGGUUAAAAACCCCAGCUCAUGCCGCGCAUGAGGACACAAGCCUGGAAUCUCAUCACUUGGAAGGGAGCAAUAGCAAUGAGCCGGGGUGGCUGGCUGUAGCUGUCCUGAAUAAGAUGCAGACGCUAAGAGGAACAACAGUAUCCAAAUGAAACCUGACCCUCAGCACCUUUGGUUAAAAGAUCGGUUCUUUCUCAGGCGGGUGUGAAAGUCCAGCAGCAAGAUCCCAGGCCUCACGGAACUGGUUCCAAACACAGCCAAAACCUCAACUGGAAGGCAAACCAGGAUGCUUUUCUUCAAGUACCUUGAAGGUCCAGAGUUCCAGCCACAGGCAACUCAUCGAGUCUCAAGAGCAGCUGCUUCAGCAACAGGGCUCCAGGAUUCACCUGAGACCAUCCCUGAAUUACCCUGUCAAAUGAACUUCUCUAAAGAAAUCUCAUCUGGGGGUUGGGGAUUUAGCUCAGUGGUAGAGCGCUUGCCUAGCAAGCGCAAGUCCCCAGCUCAAAAAAAAAAGAAAAAAAGAAAAAAGAAAAAAGAAAAAAAAGAAAUCUCAUCUGUAUUAAAGACUCUGGAGACUGACUUGAAUCUUACAAUAUAGAGCAACUGGAUACUGCUUGAUCAAGGGCCUAUCUUGGGCUCUCUUUAGUUCAUUUGGUAGCUGCUUGAAUCAAAAUCAAUCUCUCUCUCUCUCUCUCUCUCUCUCUCUCUC
rnacentral:sRNA from 1 species